GAUGAACGCUGGCGGCGUGCCUAAUACAUGCAAGUCGAGCGAAUGGAUUAAGAGCUUGCUCUUAUGAAGUUAGCGGCGGACGGGUGAGUAACACGUGGGUAACCUGCCCAUAAGACUGGGAUAACUCCGGGAAACCGGGGCUAAUACCGGAUAACAUUUUGAACCGCAUGGUUCGAAAUUGAAAGGCGGCUUAGGCUGUCACCUAUGGAUGGACCCGCGUCGCAUUAGCUAGUUGGUGAGGUAACGGCUCACAAAGGCAACGAUGCGUAGCCGACCUGGGAGGGUGAUCGGCCACACUGGGACUGAGACACGGCCCAGACUCCUACGGGAGGCAGCAGUAGGGAAUCUUCCGCAAUGGACGAAAGUCUGACGGAGCAACGCCGCGUGAGUGAUGAAGGCUUUCGGGUCGUAAAACUCUGUUGUUAGGGAAGAACAAGUGCUAGUUGAAUAAGCUGGCACCUUGACGGUACCUAACCAGAAAGCCACGGCUAACUACGUGCCAGCCGCCGCGGUAA
rnacentral:rRNA from 1 species